GAUGAACGCUGGCGGCGUGCCUAAUACAUGCAAGUCGAGCGAACGGACGAGAAGCUUGCUUCUCUGAUGUUAGCGGCGGACGGGUGAGUAACACGUAGAUAACCUACCUAUAAGACUGGGAUAACUUCGGGAAACCGGAGCUAAUACCGGAUAAUAUUUUGAACAGCAUGGUUCAAAAGUGAAAGACGGUCUUGCUGUCACUUAUAGAUGGAUCCGCGCUGCAUUAGCUAGUUGGUAAGGUAACGGCUUACCAAGGCAACGAUGCAUAGCCGACCUGAGAGGGUGAUCGGCCACACUGGAACUGAGACACGGUCCAGACUCCUACGGGAGGCAGCAGUAGGGAAUCUUCCGCAAUGGGCGAAAGCCUGACGGAGCAACGCCGCGUGAGUGAUGAAGGUCUUCGGAUCGUAAAACUCUGUUAUUAGGGAAGAACAUAUGUGUAAGUAACUGUGCACAUCUUGACGGUACCUAAUCAGAAAGCCACGGCUAACUACGUGCCAGCAGCCGCGGUAAUACGUAGGUGGCAAGCGUUAUCCGGAAUUAUUGGGCGUAAAGCGCGCGUAGGCGGUUUUUUAAGUCUGAUGUGAAAGCCCACGGCUCAACCGUGGAGGGUCAUUGGAAACUGGAAAACUUGAGUGCAGAAGAGGAAAGUGGAAUUCCAUGUGUAGCGGUGAAAUGCGCAGAGAUAUGGAGGAACACCAGUGGCGAAGGCGACUUUCUGGUCUGUAACUGACGCUGAUGUGCGAAAGCGUGGGGAUCAAACAGGAUCAGAUACCCUGGUAGUCCACGCCGUAAACGAUGAGUGCUAAGUGUUAGGGGGUUUCCGCCCCUUAGUGCUGCAGCUAACGCAUUAAGCACUCCGCCUGGGGAGUACGACCGCAAGGUUGAAACUCAAAGGAAUUGACGGGGACCCGCACAAGCGGUGGAGCAUGUGGUUUAAUUCGAAGCAACGCGAAGAACCUUACCAAAUCUUGACAUCCUUUGACAACUCUAGAGAUAGAGCCUUCCCCUUCGGGGGACAAAGUGACAGGUGGUGCAUGGUUGUCGUCAGCUCGUGUCGUGAGAUGUUGGGUUAAGUCCCGCAACGAGCGCAACCCUUAAGCUUAGUUGCCAUCAUUAAGUUGGGCACUCUAAGUUGGCUGCCGGUGACAAACCGGAGGAAGGUGGGGAUGACGUCAAAUCAUCAUGCCCCUUAUGAUUUGGGCUACACACGUGCUACAAUGGACAAUACAAAGGGCAGCGAAACCGCGAGGUCAAGCAAAUCCCAUAAAGUUGUUCUCAGUUCGGAUUGUAGUCUGCAACUCGACUACAUGAAGCUGGAAUCGCUAGUAAUCGUAGAUCAGCAUGCUACGGUGAAUACGUUCCCGGGUCU
rnacentral:rRNA from 1 species